UACGGAGGGUGCAAGCGUUGUCCGGAUUUAUUGGGUUUAAAGGGUGCGUAGGCGGUCAACUAAGUCAGUGGUGAAAGGCAGCAGCUCAACUGUUGCACUGCCAUUGAUACUGGAUGACUUGAGUACAGACGAGGUAGGCGGAAUUUAUGGUGUAGCGGUGAAAUGCAUAGAGAUCGUAAGGAAGGCCAGUGGCGAAGGCGAGUUCCUGGACAGUGACUGACGCUGAGGCACGAAGGCCAGGGGAGCAAACGGG
rnacentral:rRNA from 1 species